rnacentral:lncRNA from 1 species
UCUUUCUUUCUUUCUUUCUUUCUUUCUUUCUUUCUUUCUUUCUUUCUUUCUUUCUGUCUUUCUUUCUUUUUUCUGUCUUUCUUUCUGUCUCUCUUCCUGCUUUUCUUUCUGUCUUUCCGUCUUUCUUUCUUUCUUUCUUUCUUUCUUUCUUUCUUUCUUUCUUUCUUUCUUUCUGUCUUUCUUUCUUUUUUCUGUCUUUCUGUCUUUCUUUCUGUCUUUCUUGUCAGUAAACAACCAUCAUAGCUGUUUUUCUGUCACUAGAUGAAUAAUAUACAGUAGUCAGACAUUGAACCAUUGGCUUUAGACACAAAAUUUGAUUAACCAAUUUGACUUGUCACUCAACUUCUGUUUGUUGACCUUAGCUAGACUAUAGGGAUAGGGAUACAUCUAUGUUUUAAAAGCCUACUUUGCCAAAUUCAAGCCAUUUCCUAAUUUAGGGGUAUUUAUCUCUUGGCGUCAGCCAGGGACACUUAGGUAUUGUGGAGCUGAGUUUGUCAAAAUACAUUCCCCCGUGUACUGCCAGUGGAGAGUGACAAGCGUAUUUAAUACACCCUGAUUCGUCUACUGGGUGAACACUUAAAACCAAGGACUCCAGCAGCAUUGGACAACGGUCCAGAACAUGUUGGAGAUGCACUUCUACCGUCUCUGGACCAGCACUAGGCUCAGGUUAGAUAUCUUCUGGACCAGCACUAGAUUCAGGUUAGAUAUCUCCCAGACCAGCACUAGGCUCAGGUUAGAUAUCUCAUAGACCAGCACUAGGCUCAGGUUAGAUAUCUCCCAGACCAGCACUAGGCUCAGGUUAGAUAUCUCCCAGACCAGCACUAGGCUCAGGUUAGAUAUCUCCCAGACUAGCACUAGACUCAGGUUGGAUAUCUCCUGGACCAGCACUAGAUUCAGGUUAGAUAUCUCCCAGACCAGCACUAGGCUCAGGUUAGAUAUCUCCCAGACUAGCACUAGGCUCAGGUUGGAUAUCUCCUGGACCAGCACUAGAUUCAGGUUAUAUAUCUCCCAGACCAGCACUAGGCUCAGGUUAGAUAUCUCCCAGACUAGCACUAGGCUCAGGUUAGAUAUCUCCUAGACCAGCACUAGGCUCAUGUUAGAUAUCUCAUAGGCCAGCACUAGAUUCAGGUUAAAUAUCUCAUAGACCAGCACUACGCUCAGGUUGGAUAUCUCAUAGACCAGCACUAGGCUCAGGUUAGAUAUCUCCUAGACCAGCACUAGGCUCAUGUUAGAUAUCUCCUAGACUAGCACUAAGCUCAGGUUAGAUAUAUCCUGUACUAGCACUAGGCUCAGGUUAGAUAUCUCCUAGACCAGCACUAGGCUCAGGUUGGAUAUCUCCUGGACCAGCACUAGGCUCAGGUUAGAUAUCUCCUGGACCAGCACUAGGCUCAGGUUAGAGGACACCAGAGCAUAGCAUGUGAUAUAGACCUCAUAUAAAUACUUUUUCUGUCCACCUACUGGGAGGUCAUGGCGUUACAGAAGAAGGAAUGAGUGACACCUAUUGCAGAGCUUGGCUUUUCUACAUAUUUGCAUACUAGACUUCUACUGCAGAGCUUGGAUGGUCUACAUAUUUGCAUACUAGACUUCUACUGUCACAGUACAGUAUGACCAUACUGGAGACACAUAUUUCCUUCAGAUUACACAGACACACAAACAAUUCAGAACUUGUUGGCACACAUAUAAGCCUUUCUGCAAGCAGACUCAUUCACAGACCCACACACACAGUCAUUCAUGUAUAAAUCGCUCUCUCUCACUCCUUCUUUCUCUCUAUCUCUCUUUGUAUGUCUGUUUGUUUGUCUCUAUCUCACUAUCUUCUCUCUCUCUCUCUUUCUAUAUCUCACUAUCUCUCUCUCUCUCUCUCUCUCACUAUCUCUCUCUCUCUCUAUCUCUCUCUCUCACUUUCUUUCUCUUGGCCUGUCUCUCCUCUCUCCUCCCUCUCUCAGGCUCUACGUCUGGUUAUCCACCCUCCCCUCUCUGCCUCUGGUUAUCCACCCUCCCCUCUCUACGUCUGGUUAUCCACCCUCUCCUCUCUACAUCUGGUUAUCCACCCUCUCCUCUCUACGUCUGGUUAUCCACCCUCCUCUCUACGUCUGGUUAUCCACCCUCUCCUCUCUACAUCUGGUUAUCCACCCUCUCCUCUCUCUGUCUGGUUAUCCACCCUCUCCUCUCUACGUCUGGUUAUCCACCCUCUCCUCUCUACGUCUGGUUAUCCACCCUCUCCUCUCUACAUCUGGUUAUCCACCCUCCUCUCUAUGUCUGGUUAUCCACCCUCUCCUCUCUACAUCUGGUUAUCCACCCUCUCCUCUCUACGUCUGGUUAUCCACCCUCUCCUCUCUGUCUGGUUAUCCACCCUCUCCUCUCUACGUCUGGUUAUCCACCCUCUCCUCUCUACAUCUGGUUAUCCACCCUCCUCUCUAUGUCUGGUUAUCCACCCUCUCCUCUCUACAUCUGGUUAUCCACCCUCUCCUCUCUACGUCUGGUUAUCCACCCUCCUCUCUACGUCUGGUUAUCCACCCUCUCCUCUCUCUCUCUCUGUCUCAUUAUCCACCCUUCCCUCUCUCUCUCUCUCUCUCUCUCUCUCUCUCUCUCUCUCUCUCUCUCUGUCUGGGUAUGCACCCCCCCCUCUCUCUCUCUGGUUAUGCACCCCUCCCUCUCUCUCUCUGGUUAUCCACCCUCCCCCUCUCUCUCUCGCUGUCUUGUUAUCCACACUCCUCUCUCUCUCUCUGUCUGGUUAUGCACCCUCCCCUCUCUCGCUCUCUCUCUGUCUGGUUAUGCACCCUUCCCCCCUCUCUCUCUCUCUGUCUGGUUAUGCACCCUCCCCCCUCUCUCUCUGUCUGGUUAUGCACCCUCUCUCUCGCUCUCUCUCUCUCUGGUUAUGCACCUCUCCCUCUCUCUCUCUGGUUAUCCACCCUCCCCCCUCUCUCUCUCGCUGUCUUGUUAUCCACACUCCUCUCUCUCUCUCUCUCUCUCUCUCUGUCUGGUUAUGCACCCUCCCCACUCUCGCUCUCUCUCUGUCUGGUUAUGCAGCCUUCCCCCCCUCUCUCUCUCUGUCUGGUUAUGCACCCUCC